UUAUACGGGUAUUAUAGUAUUUAAAUUGUUCCUCUUCGUAGCAUUAUUGAUGAACAGUUACGGUCCAACGACUUUGCAUUAAGGAUGAUCGCUUUUGGAAAUAUUAACUUGGCCAUUCUUAUAGUGGGAUCAAGGAAACCAAUUUUCAGAUAUUUGUGUAUGCGUCUGCUGAUGAAGCUUAAAUUGAGCCUUUGUCUCCUGAAUUUGUUGCCUUGUUGAAGAAUAAAAGCUCGCCAUUCAGAAACGAACUGUCCCUCAUAGUCGUUGAUGAAUUGGCAGUUAGGCUAAUUAAUACAUGGUGACUUGGUGAGUUUAUGGAGUUUGGGUUUAUUGUAAUAUUGUAUGUCUUUGUAUUAAAAUAUGUAUGUAUCAGGGGCGGCGGAACAGGGGGGCUAGGGGGGCUAAAGCCCCCCCCAGAAGUAAAAGUGGGGGGCUUAGCCCCCCCAGAAAAUUUGAAUUUUUCGAAAAAAUUUUGAAAAUUAGGGAAAAAUUUAGGUUAUUUUUUGAAAAUUUAGGUAUAAGGGGAC